rnacentral:tRNA from 1 species
UGGGAAGUGGCUCAGUGGUAGAGUGUUUGUCUCGCAUGCCUAAGGCCCUGGGUUUGAUUCCUCAGCAUCACAU